rnacentral:rRNA from 1 species
GAACGGGUGAGUAACACGUGAGUAACCUGCCACUUGACUCUGGGAUAAGCCUGGGAAACUGGGUCUAAUACCGGAUAGGAACGUCCACCGCAUGGUGGGUGUUGGAAAGAUUUAUCGGUCAUGGAUGGACUCGCGGCCUAUCAGCUUGUUGGUGAGGUAAUGGCUCACCAAGGCGACGACGGGUAGCCGGCCUGAGAGGGUGACCGGCCACACUGGGACUGAGACACGGCCCAGACUCCUACGGGAGGCAGCAGUGGGGAAUAUUGCACAAUGGGCGAAAGCCUGAUGCAGCGACGCCGCGUGAGGGAUGACGGCCUUCGGGUUGUAAACCUCUUUCAGUAGGGAAGAAGCGAAAGUGACGGUACCUGCAGAAGAAGCACCGGCUAACUACGUGCCAGCAGCCGCGGUAAUACGUAGGGUGCGAGCGUUAUCCGGAAUUAUUGGGCGUAAAGAGCUCGUAGGCGGUUUGUCGC